GUCGCUGGCUCGAACACCCACGUUGCUGUCUGCGGCGGUUCCAGCGCGCCUCCCCACAAGGACUGCUCUGGGAGCUUCUCCUACAUCUGGCGCCGGCUGCCCCCAUCACCUUCUUCGUUGCCGGCAUCGGGCGAGCGCCGUGUCCCUCCAUCUUUGGCACGAAUAAAGCCCUGCAUCCCCACAUCAGCUACUUGGUGGGUUUAGACGGCAAGGUUUGUUGCGUCGAUGUGCUCUGUUGCUGAUUUUGGUGGUGAGCACCCUGUGAUUUGCGCUGGCUGCAUCUUUAUUUCCCCGAUGUACUCUUCAGUACCGCUCCGUUUCUACCAAUUUGGAUGAAAUGCAGUUAUUUCUAUCGAGCUUUCGCAUUUGGCAUGGUCCAUCUGUGCUGUUGUGUAUGUGAGGCUGCCAGAAGUUGGCACCUAUGUAACUCUGGGCAGAGAACUUUGGUGCUAUUGGAUGUUGUGAAGGCAACAACUGGUAUCAACUUCCCGGUACCUGGAGGCCGGUCUGAAUGAAGAAUUCAUGAGAAACAGGCAUCAGUAAGUUUCGGCUCAUGAUAACCUGACACUCCAUAAGGAAAUCGUCCGGUGUGGAUUAAAGUGUGUUAUGACAUGUAUGUUGCCUGUUUUUUUCCAAGAAAGAUCAAUGAAAUCCCAUAUGAAGGCGGCUACAUUAUAAAGGUUAAUGUCAGUGAUGCAGGUGAGCUUAACUCACUGAUGGAAGACGAGAACUACUCGAAAUUCUGCGAGGAAGAAGACAGCAAGCAUUGUGCAAAUAAUGGUGGCUUUUGAGCAUUGGGAAUUUGUGCUUCGACUCUUGUAGAUGUUUGUCAUCUGCUGAUGGGCACUUUCCCGAUCACCUGCUGUCUCAACCUGGGAAGGAUCAAAAUAUGGAAUAGAUACUGUAGCAUUUUCCUACCCAAGAAGGGCUUUGCAAGAUACUAAAUAUGUAUAUGGCAGAGUUACUUUGCUGCGUGGCCA